rnacentral:rRNA from 1 species
GAAGCGGCAACAGCUCAAAUUUGAAAUCUGGCCCCCCCGGGCCCGAGUUGUAAUUUGUAGAGGAUGCUUUUGGUGAGGUGCCGCCCGAGUUCCCUGGAACGGGACGCCGCAGAGGGUGAGAGCCCCGUCUGGCUGGCCGCCGAGCCUCUGUAAAGCUCCUUCGACGAGUCGAGUAGUUUGGGAAUGCUGCUCAAAAUGGGAGGUAUAUGUCUUCUAAAGCUAAAUAUUGGCCAGAGACCGAUAGCGCACAAGUAGAGUGAUCGAAAGAUGAAAAGCACCUUGAAAAGAGGGUUAAACAGUACGUGAAAUUGUUGAAAGGGAAGCGCUUGUGACCAGACUUGGCCGCGGCGGAUCAUCCGGGGUUCUCCCCGGUGCACUCCGCCGCGGCCAGGCCAGCAUCAGUUCGCCGCGGGGGAAAAAGGCUUCGGGAACGUGGCUCCCCCGGGAGUGUUAUAGCCCGUUGCACAAUACCCUGCGGUGGACUGAGGACCGCGCAUUCGCAAGGAUGCUGGCGUAAUGGUCACCAGCGACCCGUCUUGAAACACGGACCAAGGAGUCGUCUUCGUAUGCGAGUGUUCGGGUGUCAAACCCCUACGCGUAAUGAAAGUGAACGCAGGUGAGAGCUUCGGCGCAUCAUCGACCGAUCCUGAUGUUCUCGGAUGGAUUUGAGUAAGAGCAUACGGGGCCGGACCCGAAAGAAGGUGAACUAUGCCUGUAUAGGGUGAAGCCAGAGGAAACUCUGGUGGAGGCUCGCAGCGGUUCUGACGUGCAAAUCGAUCGUCAAAUAUGGGCAUGGGGGCGAAAGACUAAUCGAACCUUCUAGUAGCUGGUUUCCGCCGA